AACCCUCUUCGACUAUGAUGAUGAAAAAACCUAACGAUUAUUACAAGACUGUGAUAUAUGACAAGGAGAUGCUGGUCAACUGGAGGAGCUAGGAGGCGCUGAAGUUUCUGAUGGUCGCGAAGCUGCUUUUGGCCGACGACGACACGAAGUCGAACAAAAUGGCCUUGGUUUUCAUCCACGAUGGGUUGAAUUCCCUGAAGUAGCCAGUGGUGGUUCAAUAGUUCGUGAACCAUGAUGGCGUGAUCUUCAAGGUGUACGUGGUCAGGGAGUGUGUGCCUUGCGUGAAGCGAAAGUCCUUGCCGAAUGUGGAAGAGAAGAAGUUGGUAAGGGUUUCAGAGGACUUGUUUUCGUUCUCGCAGGUGUGAAAUUUGGCCAUUGAUUAGAGAAUCAACGAUAGGUAUUAUAAGAUGAUGCAGUUGGAUGAUACCGAAAUGGCUCCCUUGAGCUUCGUUACUCAGAUAGCUCGGGGGUUGAGGCACGUGAUGAGGCUCAACUUGCUUGAUUUCAAUGUUAUUAGGGAUUUAUGAUUAUCAACAUCUUUAUUGUUUAGAGAUACCCAUUCUAAUGUAUUGGAAGAAAGUUUGCAAAAGCUUGGAGUUGAGAAACUCAACAAAGAUGAUGUUCAAAAGCUACAAUGGGAGGUCUUAGAAGCCAAAAUGGAAACUAGAUUGAUUUCAUGCGUAUUGCUGUCAAAUUGUUGUUUGCUGGUGAACGAAAAGUCUGUGAUCAGAUAUUUGAAGGAUUUGACACACUUAGUGAUCAGUGUUUUGCUGAAGUAACUAAAAACAACAUUUCCAUGCUGCUUAGUUUUGGAGAAGCAAUUGCCAAAAGCAAGAGGUCACCUGAAAAGUUAUUUGUACUUUUGGACAUGUAUGGGUUCUUGCUAGUUUUUACUCUGAACAAUUUUUACAUUUGACCUGUGAUAGAAUUUGACAUUAGCCUAGAUGUCUGAUAUAUGUGUGUUCAUGGUCAUGCACCAUAGGGUUUUGUGGCUGUUUUGCAUGUGUUUAACAAGAAAUAGGAGGCAUAUUUUGAUGGUUGUAACUUGUUAUCAUCUUUCGCUCUGGACAAUUUGUAGAUUAAUAUGCUCUUUAAAGGCAGAGCUUGAACCAAAAUAAGAGAAGCUAUAUCGGGUUUGACAAAACAACUUGCACAAAUAGCCUAGGAGACCUUUGGAGAUUUUGAAGAAGCAGUUGAGAAGGAUGCUACCAAGACUGCAGUAACUGAUGGAACUGUCCAUCCUUUGACAAGCUAUGUGAAGUUUUUAUUUGAAGUGCUCCACAACCACUAUGGAGAGUCAUCAUGAGUUGUGUACCAUGACUUUGGAGUACAAAAGGGAGUUUGGCAAGAACAAUUACUGUGCAAGAUUCUCUGACUGAUGUGUCUGGUGCUUUGAUUUAGGGAAUUGUGCACCAUAAACAUAUGGAUUUGAUUAGUAGUGUGGUAUCAAUAUCUUUCCCACUUGCAAAUUCGAUUACACAUUUUGAUAAGCUUUUUUUAUUUUUUUAUUUUUUUAUAUUUUAUUAUCAACUCUAGCACUACUUUCCCUAUCACUUUUGGAUUUUCAUUUCAUUUUGAUCGAUAUGUUACUCCUAGGUGUUAUCAAUAUUUAUUUGUUUCAUUAAAAUUUAUACAUAAGCAUGUAUAUU